GAUGAAGAACGCAGCGAAAUGCGAUAAGUAAUGUGAAUUGCAGAAUUCAGUGAAUCAUCGAAUCUUUGAACGCACAUUGCGCCCCUUGGUAUUCCGAGGGGCAUGCCUGUUCGAGCGUCAUUAUAACCCUUCAAGCUCAGCUUGGUGUUGGGGCCUGCUGUAACUGGUAGCCCUUAAAAUCAGUGGCAGUGCUAUUAGGCUCUAAGCGUAGUAAUUCUUCUCGCUAUAGUGUGUAGUGAGCGCUUGCCAGAACCCCAAUCUUUUAUAUGAUUGACCUCGGAUCAGGUAGGGAUACCCGCUGAACUUAAGCAUAUCAAUAAGCGGAGGA
rnacentral:misc_RNA from 1 species